CUCUCGAUAUGAUGAUCAAGCAUUUCUUUAAUACAGUUAUCCCUGUCUGAAUUUUCUUGUGGACUCAGUCUAAAUUUCUGAUCUUGCC
rnacentral:snoRNA from 1 species